GGAAAAGUUCGUUACUAUACUCUUGAAUGCAUCAAUGUCCAUUGGAGGUAAGGCUUCCAAUUCUUGUGGUUUUCAGGGUGCUGGGUGCAAAUUGCCUGCUUGAGACCAAAAGCAUUCACUGAGGCUUUAGCUUCAGCCCCUCUCCUCUGCUUUCAAUGCAAGUUCGAGUUAGGAAGAUGUUUUUUCUGAAUGUUUUUAUUCCAAAAAUUUCUAUGUUGAAAUCCUAACCUUAUCUGAGAUGAUGGUAUGAGGUGGGGCAUUUCUGGAGGUGAUUAGGGGUUAUGGGGACUUCUUUACUCCUUCAACCAUUAGAGGACACAGUGAGAAAGUGCCAUCCUUGAGAAAGCGGGCUAUCACCAGACAUUGAAUCUGCUAGCACCUUGAUCUUGAACAUCCCAGCCUCCAGGACUGUGAGAAGUUUCUUUUGUUUAUAAGUUAUCCAGUUUAUUGCAUUUUGUUAUGGUAACCCAAAGGGACUAAGACAGGGAACAGCUAGACCUUCAUUGAAUUUGUGGUGGGAGGAGAUACUAGUGGGUCAUCUCUUCUGAGUGAAGUUUACCCAGUUCCAUUUUUCUUCUUAAAAGUUUAAGCAAAGAUGCUUAACCUGGAGUUCCCCAGUUCCCAAAGAUAGAAUACAGGGGGGCCUGUGAAACGGAAUGGGAAAAAAUUAACAUCUUUAUUUUCACUAAACUUUAAACAAACAGCAUCUUCUUCACUAUAAUGAUAGGAAAAAAAACACAGUAGCAUUGGUAGUACCUGUGACUUGUCACUAAUAGAAAUCACAGAUAUUCCCAUAUUGUAUUAUAGCUAUUGCACACCUCCAAAUCUCAUUUAUGCUCUUUACAAUCUUAACAUUACUUCAGUUAUUAAACUUACUCUAGAUCUUGUUAUUAAAUAUUUUAAUAAAGGAGCACUAUAGUGUUAAGAGUACCAUUUCAUUUUUUUAUAUUUUAUAACUGAAUAUCAGUAAAAUGGUUUCCUUGUUAAUCUUAUGAACUUCAUUUUAUGAACCUAAAAAUAUUCUGAGAAGGGAUUUAUUAAAAUAUAUUAAACUUUAAAAACAUCAUUUCAUAUGGUGGCACAUGCCUGUAAUCCCAGCAACUUGGAAGGCUAAGGCAGAGGAUUGCAAAUUAAAGGCAAGCCUGGGCAACUUAGUGAGACCCUGUCUCAAAAAAUAAUAAAAUAAAAAGAGUUGGGAAUGUAGGUCAGUGGUAGAGCACCCCUGGGUUCAAUACCUGAAAUAGCAAAAAAAAUAAAAUAAAAAAAUAAAAAAUAAAAGGACAAUUUCAGAUUCUGGAACCUCCAGUCUGUCUUUGGUUGUUUGGGAUUGGUGUGGUUCACUCUCUAUAUUGGUUUUAUAUGUUAUCAGUAACAACAUAGCAUUUAAACCCAAAAGGGUCUGCAUUCUUUCUUCAAGAGUGAAAGGAUUUCUUGAGCAGACUACACUCCAUUCCACAACCAGGUUUGGAGGAAUGUGGGCUAGAGGACCCUAAGGGAGAGUGUGCAUGGCCCUUGCCCUUCUUAAAGAUUCCUCAACAUUUAGAUUUCAAUUAAAAAUGCCUUUCACGCUGGGCAUGGUGGUGCAUGCCUGCAAUCCCAGCAAUUUGGGAGGCUGAGGCAAGAGGAUCACAAGUUUAAGGCCAGCCUGAGCAACUUAGUAAGGCCCUAAGCAACUUAAGGAGAACUUAUCUCAAAAUUAAAACAACAACAAUAAAAAAACACUUGCAGAGCAAAGGGGCCAUCAACCUUAAUUUCCACUGGUGACUCACCAGUCUAAACAUUUUUUUUGUAUCACGGAAUGAACUCAGGGAGCUUAACCACUAAGCCACAUUCCAAAUCUUUAUUUUGAGACAGAGUUUCACAAGUUACUUAGGGCCUUACUAAAUUGCUGAGGCUGGCUGGAAACUUGCCACCCUCCUGCCUCAGUCUUCCAAUUCACUAGGAUUACAGGCAUAGGCCUCCAUGCCCAGCUCACCCUCCGUUACAUUUUACUCUUGACCUGAGUCCACAAAGACAGAGCCUUUGAAAUGGAAUAUCCCAACUAGGUGUGGUGGUGCAUACCUGGAAUUUCAGCAAUUGGGGAAGAUGAGGCAGGAGAAUCAUAAAUUCAAGGCCAGCCUGGACAACUUAGUGAGACUUUGUCUUAAAAUUCAAAGGGCGGAGGAUGUAGCUCAGUAGUAAAGCAUUUGCUAGCUUGCACAAGGCCCUAGGUCUGAUUUUCAGUACCAAAAAAAGACAAAAAUAAACAAACAAAACAAAAAGAAAUACCACUCCUUUUAUAUCUCUAAUAUUAGGCAAAAAUAACAGGAUUCUGAACAAGUUAAAGUAAUGGAAAUUACUUAGAGAAAAUGACAGUUCAUGCUAAGAAUUUUACCUUCAUAAUUAUUGAUGUGCAGAGAGAGAUUCAUGAUAAUGAAUUGAUGUGCAGAGAGAGAUUCAUGGGCUGGAGGUGUGUAGCUCAGUGGUAGAGGUCUUGCCUGGCAUAUUUUGCAUACUAAAGUCCCAGUUUUAAUGCAUAGCAACACAUAAACACACACACAAAGGCACAUUACAAAAUAGCAAUUUUUGUCUGCAAUGCAAAAUUUUAUAUCAUAUAUAAAGAGGGAAAUAUAAGACAGGGCAGAAUCUGAAAAUAUACCCAUAAAAAUGUUAAUAAUAGUUAAUUCUGAAUAGAGGGCUCAUAGGGGAUUUUUAAUUUUUGCAUUAUUUUUUUCUUUUUUCCUGAUGUACAUGUUUUACAUUUGUUUAAAAAGAUAAGGCAAUACAGCUGUUUUCAUUUUGUAAAACUAAAAAUGUUAAACUACUUCUUACUGCACUUAGAACCUUGAAGAGCUACUUAACCAACUCACUGGCUUCUCACCUUUUGGGGAGAUAAAAAGGCAGAAUGAAGAGUGGAGGAAUUUAAUUUCUUCACCAAAACAAAACAACAACAAAUACUUAUGUGUUAUAACAUCGACUUUAUAGAGGGGGUCACAUUAAGGCUUCCAUAUUCUUUGGCUAAUCAACAACCAGUACAUAGCAAGCUUCCUUCAAGGUCAGCUCUCCCCUUCCCAUUACAAGUUCAUUUCCCUCUCAGAGUGCUCACUAGAGUGCUUGAGGAUAGUGAGAGAGAUUUUCCUUCCAGAUCUCCACACUCCAUUUCUCUAAGUUAUAAUAUUUUUUUUCUGUGUCCAAUUUUUCUUCCUUUUCUACUUUUCAAUCUUUCUAGUCCUCCUUUCUGGGUAUUGCUCCCAGAUGUUUUAGAUAAUUUACUCUAAAAAAUGAGUAUUUUGAAAACUGUGACUGUCUCCAGAGCUGAAACAAACCCAUACCCAGUGUUUCAGUUAUCUCUGGCAGAAUAGCCCACCCCCAAACCCCCACCCCUGGGCCACUCCUGCCCAAAAAAAUCUGUGUGGAGGUAGCAGGAAAUGCCUCCUGGGUUGCUCUUCUGUUUAUUGUCCAUGAUUCUGUGGGUCAGAGUCUGCAGGGAAUGGCUCAUCUUUGCUCCAUGUAGCAUCAGUUGGGCCUGUGUGACAGCUGCAGGGUCUCAGGUGGCCCUUUUCACACAUGUGGAAUUUGGCUGUUGGUCAGGGUGUCCUGGUUUCCUCCACGUGGCUACUGUUGUUCCAAUUAGUCUCUCAUUAUUCUACAGGUUAACCUGAGUUCCCCUGCCCAGUGGCUGAUUCCAAAGGGGAUGAAAACAGAACCUUCAAAGUCCUAAGACCUUCAAGUCCCACAGCACCACCCUGAUUCUACCAGUCAAAGCAAGUCACACCCAGAAUCAAGGGGUGGGAAAACAGAUUUCCCCUCUUGCUGCAAAAAUAGUAAAGGUUAUGCAGGCAGAAGGAGUUGUUGUGGACAUCUUCAGGAAUAAUUCAUCAAAUAUAGAGUUCAAGAUUAAAAAAAAAUUUUAAAUGAGCUUAACAAUCAUGGUAAUGAUAAUAAUAUCACCAGUGAGAGGUUGUUUUUUUUUUUUUUUUCCUACUGACACUUCCACUUUCAGCCCUCAUUUGCCUCUCCUCUCCUAGCUGGAAUAUUAGCCCAGAAAAUCGUGAGUUCUUGCUGUAUUACCCUUGUCUCCCUCUUCCUCCACGUGCAUUCCCCAGAUGCUCACUCUUACUCCUCUGCUUUUCUCUGGUUCUUUCCUUUUCUUGGAGGAUUUCAUCUGUUCCCCAGGCUUCAACUGCCACUCUACCCUGAAGACUCCCGAAUUUUAAUUUCCAGCCAGCCUGAAACUGCAAGUGCCUC
rnacentral:lncRNA from 1 species